UACGUAGGAGGCGAGCGUUGUCCGGAAUUACUGGGCGUAAAGAGUGCGUAGGCGGCACGGUACGACCGGUGUGAAAGCCCCCGGCUCAACUGGGGAGGGUCACCGGUAACGGUCGAGCUAUGAGUGCAGGAGAGGGAAGUGGAACUCCGGGAGUAGCGGUGAAAUGCGUAGAGACCCGGAGGAACAUCAGUGGCGAAGGCGGCUUCCUGGUCUGCGACUGACGCUGUGGCGCGAAAGCUAGGGGAGCAAACGGG
rnacentral:rRNA from 1 species